UACGGGGGGGGCAAGCGUUGUUCGGAAUUACUGGGCGUAAAGGGCGCGUAGGCGGUCAUGUAAGUGAGAUGUGAAAUCCCUGGGCUUAACCUAGGAACUGCAUCUCAUACUGCAUGACUGGAGUAUUGUAGAGGGUAGUGGAAUUUCCGGUGUAGCGGUGAAAUGCGUAGAGAUCGGAAGGAACACCAGUGGCGAAGGCGGCUACCCGGACAAAUACUGACGCUGAGGCGCGAGAGCGUGGGGAGCAAACAGG
rnacentral:rRNA from 1 species